GGGUCAGUAGGUUGGUCGUGCCACCGGUACGUACUGGUCUCACUGAUUCCUCCCUCCUGAAGAACCGUAAUGCCGUUAAUUUGGUGUUGCGGGGAAACAGGACUGUUACUUUGAAAAAAUUAGAGUGUUUAAAGCAAGCUAACGCUUGAAUACAUUAGCAUGGAAUAAUGAAAUAGGACGAUCGAUCCUAUUUUGUUGGUUUCUAGGAUUGACGUA
rnacentral:rRNA from 1 species